GUCAUUGUAGCUCAAUGGGAAGAGCAACCCUCCUUCAAAUGCUUAUGAAACGGGCAGGUUGCAGGUUCAAAUCCUGUCAAUGACA